rnacentral:rRNA from 1 species
GACGAACGCUGGCGGCGUGCUUAACACAUGCAAGUCGAACGAUGAAAGAGGAGCUUGCUUCUCUGGAUUAGUGGCGAACGGGUGAGUAACACGUGAGUAACCUGCCCUUGACUCUGGGAUAAGCGCUGGAAACGGCGUCUAAUACCGGAUAUGACGACCGGCCGCAUGGUCUGGUUGUGGAAAGAAUUUCGGUCAAGGAUGGACUCGCGGCCUAUCAGCUUGUUGGUGAGGUAAUGGCUCACCAAGGCGACGACGGGUAGCCGGCCUGAGAGGGUGACCGGCCACACUGGGACUGAGACACGGCCCAGACUCCUACGGGAGGCAGCAGUGGGGAAUAUUGCACAAUGGGCGCAAGCCUGAUGCAGCAACGCCGCGUGAGGGACGACGGCCUUCGGGUUGUAAACCUCUUUUAGUAGGGAAGAAGCGAAAGUGACGGUACCUGCAGAAAAAGCACCGGCUAACUACGUGC